rnacentral:lncRNA from 1 species
CUUGCUUCUUGAAAACCACUUUCUGGGCAGGGAUGUCGACGACACAAUGAAGUGAAAGUAUGUAUUCGUUCUUCGGUGGAUAUGUCCACUCGAAGACCUCUUUAAAACAGUUUGUCGAACAGUAUGAAAGGACGUUAAGGAAUAAGGUCGAGAAGGAGUUUCAGGCGAAAUUCAAGUCAUACUCACAAAUGGUGCCGUGUGCAACAACAUUUGAAAUGGAGAAGCAAUUUCAGUCUGCUUACACUAUUUUGAAGUUUAAGGAAGUGCAGGAGAAGUUCACAGGAAAGAUGUACUGUGACGUCGCUUCAGUCACAGAAGGUUGUUUUGGGACGACCUACGAGGUUCGAGAGUCUGUGAACUGCCCUGGAGGCAGGAAGAAGAAAACAUACAAUGUCUUGUACCGGAACGACACAUGCGAAGUUAUUUGUAGUUGCCAUAUGUUUGAGUUUCGAGGAAUUAAAUGUAGGCAUGCGAUCACCGUCUUAGACCGUAAUGACGUCACAAAAAUGCCAGAGAGGUAUAUAGUGCGGAGAUGGCGAAGAGAUGUCACUAGAGCGCAUACAAGGGUUCGUGUGAAGUACACUGGGCUGGUUAGCACUCUUGAACAAAUGAGAUGCGAUGACAUGUGUCAGGCAUUUGUAGAGGUGGCAGGCCUUGCUUGCACUGACGAAGUUCGAUCGCGUGCGAUUAUGGAUUGGAUACAAUGUCAAGCUGCAGAGUUACGGUCUUUGAAUUCUAGUUGUGGGAGCAAUGUUCUUUCACAAGCUACUGCUCACAUAGCGAGCCAAUGUAAUGAUUCACAAAAUAUCGUCGGCACGAGCAUAUUAGAUCCCAAAUUAUCGAAAAGGAAGGGGGCACCACGAAAACUUCGGAAAAAGGGCCCGUUGGAGUCGACUUCAAAAAAAGUGAAGGUAUGUUGUUGUACUAAACCCUUUAAUCAUAAAGAAUCUCAAUUACAAAAUUAUUUAAUGUUCGAUUUAUAUGUAGGUUGCUUCGACUUCAUGCAAAGGGAAGAGACCGAAAGAUACUCAUUUUCCCGUGGAAGCCGCUGCAUCAGUUGUACAUAUCACUCCAGAACUUCAAUGUUUGCAACCAACACCAUUCUCAUAUUCCCAGCUAUUGUUGUUACGUUUAUGGAUUUUCCCUAGUUUUAAGUUGAUGACUGUGCAUUUACGUUCUUAUUUGAUGUAGGGAGAUGCCAUGAGCCAAAUGUUUACCCAACAAUUACCUUCGUCUACUUUGAUCCCCCCCCCCCCCUCGUCGACUAAUGCCACAAAUCAAUUCAAGUUCAAUCCUCGGGUCCGUACUUUGCUCCACCACCUUUUUCGCAGCAACGUGCUACAUUUAUCGGAAUGGGUGAAGUUGUGUUAAAUUCCGAUCAGGUGAAAUUUUUCGUUUCUCUUAAAGUUUAUCAUGAUUUAUGCCUUUUUUCUCUGCUAUUCUUCAUUUAUUUUUACUGUUUUUGGGUGGCGUGCGGAGUGAUCUCGUUCAUAAUGGGAUCCCGUUAAUUGAAGUAGAAUAGAUUUAUUUUCUCUGCUAUUCUUUAAUGGCAUGAUUUUGGACUAUUUAACUCGUUUGGUUGUCAAGUGCUUGAUUUUGCUACUUUAAUUGUGAUCUGCUUAUUCUUCCCCUGGUUAGCUGAUUAUGAUUGAUGCUAAGUAAAACUUAGAAGACAGGGCAAUCAAGCGGGAAAUAUUUCUAUUUUCUUCUUUUGCGUUGUAAGAGUUGCGGCUACGUAAAGUGUCCUUUGCUGAUUCUGUACGAGUGACUGCUUGCUAUUUUACCGAUUUCUAGUAACGAGCUUGUUACCUUUUGGAGCUAAUGCCUAUGUACUGUUACAUAAAUUGUAUCUAUUGUUCCAUCUAUUGUAGUAUUUAUUUCAUAAAAGGCAUCCAUUCUAUAGUAGAACUAGUAUAUGGGUUCUUCCCUUUUUCUUUCUUUUUUUUUUUUUCUUGGUGGGUUCGUUUGAGUUCAAAACCUUCUCUACUUUCAUGGCAUAUUGAUCUUUAUCCCAAAAAAGCUAAUUUGUCUUGCUGAUGGGUUAAUAAAAAAUAUCUAUUUUCUUGCCAUCUAAAUUCAUAUAGCUGAUCCAUCCUUUCAUAUUUGACAUUGAUUAGCUGCAUUGUAGUUAAUAGUCGAAACUGUCAUCUCCUUCACUACUCUCAAAUUUGGCAACUACUCACCAAGGAUUCUGUAUUCUCAGGCUACAGCAAAAUCUGGAAGCAGCUCAAAAUCAUAGGAAUUCUUUCAUGAAUGGAUUGACAUUCUGCAAUGCAUGAAGAUCGAGAGUACAUUUUAUUUUGGGUUUUUGGCUUUUGAUUGUACUAUGUUAUUUUGGGUUUUUGGCUUUCGACUGUACUACGUCCCCAAACAUGUAAACAUGUUCUGUGACAUGUAUUGUGACAUGUAAACAUUUUAUUUUGGGUUUUCAACUUGUUUUGAGGCGUGCUACUGUAGGGUUCAUUUUAUGACAGAUUUGUCUCAUAGUUUUCAAUCUCUAAAUCAUUCCUUUCAGAAUUGAAAAGCUGUCCAAGUUAGAUAGGAG